rnacentral:rRNA from 1 species
CUAAUGAGACUGCCGGUGACAAACCGGAGGAAGUGGGGAUGACGUCAAGUCCUCAUGGCCCUUAUGGUAGGGCUACACACGUCAUACAAUGGAUGGUACAAAGGGUCGCCAACCCGCGAGGGGGAGCCAAUCCCAUAAAGCCAUUCGUAGUCCGGAUCGCAGUCUGCAACUCGACUGCGUGAAGUCGGAAUCGCUAGUAAUCGUGGAUCAGAAUGUCACGGUGAAUACGUUCCCGGGUCUU